ensembl:lncRNA LINC00342 long intergenic non-protein coding RNA 342
AGAUUUGGAUUCUCCCUGGCAUGGAGUGCCCCGAGGGAGGGGUGGGCUGCCAUAUUUGAUGUUUUGGCAACUUAGCCAUUCCAACCUUUGGGCUUUAAGGAGUCCCAGCUGACUUAGGGUGGAUAUAGCCCACCAGCACAGCACAGCUGCUGUACAAAAGCAUAGCCAGACUGCUUCUUUAAGCAGGUCCCGGAUUCAUUCCUCCUCACUGUUUGGGACUUCCCAACUGGGGCCUCCAGCCACCCCCACUGGUGUUCUCCUGCUGACAGUGAUUUCAGUUUUUUCUUGGCUGGAGCUCCCUGAUGGAGGGGCAGGCCAUCAUGUUUGCUGUUUUUGCAACUUAACCACUUCAACCUUCAGUCUUUGGAGUGUCCAAGGAGACCAGGGGCUGAUGUGGACCCUCAGCAUAGCACAGAUGCUCUAUAAAAAUGUGGUCAGACUGCUUUUUAAGCACUUUCCCAAUGUCAUUCCGCCUCACUGGGCAAAACCCCCUAACUGGGGUCUCCAGCUACCUCCUACAGGUGUGUUUGGGCCAGCAACAAGUUCAUUCAUACCUCCCUAGGGCAAAGCUUCCAAAGGGAGCAGUAGGCUGCCAACUUUUCUGUUUCACAGCCUUCACUGAUGAUAACUCCAGGUACUGGAAAAUCUGAGGCUACUAGAGACUGAAGUGGGCCCUGGGCAUACUGCAGCAGCCCUAUGGAAAAGUGGCCAGACUGUUACCUGGGUUCCCAUUCCUGUAUCUUCUCACUAGGCAAGUCUUGCAGGCCUGGGCCUCUACCUAACCCCCCUGCCAGAGCUGUCGAGCCAGUAGCAACUCAGCCACUCCCUGGACAGAGCCUCCAGGGGCAACUGAAAGCCUCUCUGCCACUGCUUCUGCAGUGGAACUGUCCUUGCUACCCUCAGACUGAUGAAGGAGCUAACACCCUUAUCUACACCUUCAACAAGCUUUAAUUGACCAAAGCCCAUCUCCCACGGGUUUUACACACUCCCCACUGCUCAUAACAGACAGGGAACCCCUGGAUUGGCCCCCACAGCAUGAAUUCUCCAUCCUGCUUGCUGAUUGCAAUAAACAGUUGCUGACCUGUAUUCUCCGGGGGUAGAACCCUGAGGAGACAAACAAAAGACCCUUGGCUACAACCACUACUAAUGUCCCUUCCUCUUCUUCCCCAAAGUUAGGGAAGAAAUAUAAACACUGAGAUUGCCCCAGAGCUGCAGUGGGCAGCCUAGGAGUGCCAAGCCAUGAUCUACAGCCAGCACUCAAGGAGGAGAGAAGCACAUUUUCAGAUCAUUGAGAGUGAACAUGGCUGCAACUGUGAGGAAACAUAGGGGAGCCACAUGACCAAGCAAGACUCUACCAACUGACCAGUAAGCCCAAGUGCCACCUACUGGAUCACAUCCCAAAGCUUCAGCACCAAAAAUACCUUACUAAUAUACUCCCCUCUGAAACCAGAAAUGAGAAGUCAGCUUCAAAUAAAGAACCUGCACAAAGCCUCAGCCUGGUGAAAACAUCUGAAAAUAAGUCUACGGACUGUACUCAAUCUACACUGCAAUUAAAGGAAAACCCAUAGGUGGAAAUGAGAAGAAACCAAUGCAAGAACUCCAGUAACUCAAAUGGCCUCUGUGUCAUAUGUCCUUCAAACAACCACACCAGUUCUCCAACAAGAGUUCUUAACCUGGAUGAACUGUCUGGAAUUACAUAAAUAUAAUUGA